rnacentral:rRNA from 1 species
UACGUAGGGUGCGAGCGUUGUCCGGAAUUACUGGGCGUAAAGAGCUCGUAGGUGGUUUGUCGCGUGUUCGUGAAAACCCGAGACUCAACCUCGGGCCUGCAGCCGAUACGGGCAGACUAGAGGUUCGGCAGGGGAGACUGGAAUUCCUGGUGUAGCGGUGAAAUGCGCAGAUAUCAGGAGGAACACCGGUGGCGAAGGCGG